CACGUAGGGUGCGAGCGUUGUCCGGAAUUAUUGGGCGUAAAGAGCUCGUAGGCGGUGUGUCGCGUCGGCCGUGAAAACCUGCAGCUUAACUGUGGGCUUGCGGUCGAUACGGGCAUCACUGGAGUUCGGCAGGGGAGACUGGAAUUCCUGGUGUAGCGGUGAAAUGCGCAGAUAUCAGGAGGAACACCGGUGGGCGAAGGCGGGUCUCUGGGCCGAUACUGAC
rnacentral:rRNA from 1 species